rnacentral:misc_RNA from 1 species
UCCUGCUCUAUAAAGCUUGUCGGUUACCAAACUUUGAGGUUAAAUACUUUAGCAAAAUGGUUUACUAUUUAUCAACAAAAACAAACACUUGAUACCAGCUGGUAUUUGACUUGUGAAAUGUCAUUAAUGAGCGUAAUAAUAGUUUUUAUGGCUUGAGUUUGUUGGAUAUUAUAUAAAAAAUGGAACUGUAAUACAAAUAACACGUACAUUUAGUAAUUCUUUACAUGUUAGUCGUGGUUCAAGGGAAUGCUAUUAUUUAUUUAUAAAUAAAAUUACAGGACAAAUUGAAAACAGUCAUCAAGAUUUUUCAAUGACAACCUCCGGAUACCGGAAUGGAUUCUGCAGAUAAUAUAAAUUUAAACAGCUCUUCUGAAAAAGGAGAUCAAUGUGCAUCUAAAAGUAUUGGUGCCAAUGAGCUCCCAGAAAAGAUGAAAAAGGUCGAGGUAAAGCCAAAAGACUCUCCUACGAGUAUUUUGGCUAAGAGUUCCGUUUUAUUGCCAACUGGAGUAGCACGUGUAAAACAGAUAUCUGCUGUGCAAUCUGGACCAAUAAAAAGCUCUAUGACUAGCACAGGUUCUGCUACUGGUAACCCAAGAAAUAAAACAGCUCUAGCACCUGGUCACAGUUUGAUGGAUUGGAUUCGCCUCGGUUCCUCGGGUGUUGAUCUUACUGGAGUCGGAGGAGUUUAUCAAGUCGUCACGCCAGCUGAGCUCGCUAAACAUAAUGAACGAAACGACGCUUGGAUUGCAAUAAGAGGUAUUGUGUUCAAUAUAACAAGAUACAUGGAUUUUCACCCUGGAGGUGUGGAUGAAUUAAUGAGAGGUGUCGGCAAAGAUGCAACGAAGCUUUUUGAAGACGUCCAUGCGUGGGUUAAUUACCAGAGCAUUUUACAAAAGUGUAUUGUGGGCAGAUUGAGCAGAAGUGGACCAGUAGAAAUUGAUUCUACUCUAGAAAAUAAUAAGAAACCUACAUCUAAAUUAUCUCCACUUGUCGUUGGUGUGCGAAAUUUAGAACAGAAUGAAAAAUCAAUAACCGUGGCACCGAAACUUCAAAGCGAUUGGAAACAAACUACAAACACUGUUUCGUUUGUCUAUAAAACAACGGGAAAUCAAUCUCCUGGUUUUCAACUAAUACGAGAAAGUGAAAUGGAAUUCAACAUAAAAAUUUGUCUACAGAAUAGUAUAGUAAAACACGAGUAUGAUCUCACUGAAGGUGUUGAAUGGCCACCCAAAUGGGAACAAAACUUUGCAUCGAUGGAAACCACAUUUAUUUUCACAAAAUUAAAUGGAUCAUUGUGGAAAUCGUACGGUAGCAGAACUGUUGUUAAUGAAAUGAAAAACUCUGAGCGAAGUUAUAGAUCAUGGGAAAUUGUCAGCAAUACUUUACUAUGUGAUGAUGUUCAUCUUUUGGUCACAAAGUCGAAGGAUUAUCUAGAAAUCAUUCCUGUUGGCCAUCAUGUUGAAGCAAAAAUGAAUGUGAUGGGUGUAGAAGUUUCAAGGCCAUAUACACCAGUUCCACCUUGUCUCCAUCCUGCAAACAAACCGCCUGAAUACACACCAGAUUGUUUAUGUUUAAUAAUAAAAAAAUACAAUGAAGGUACUUUAAGUCCGUCCGUAACAGCCCUAAAGCAUGGGCAAACCUUCUCUAUAAGUAGUGGAUUGGGAACAUUUGUAGUUGAGUCCUAUGAUAAAUAUUCUACCAUUCACAUGCUUGCUGCCGGCACUGGAUUGACACCAAUGCUUGGAAUCAUUCAACGAGCACUUGGCAAACGAAAUGUGAGUACGAUAAACCUUUUAAAUUUUAAUAAAGAAGAGAAAAAUAUUUUUUAUGGUCCUCAGUUAGCGAAAGUAUGCGAAGACAAAAGGUUGAAAGUCAUUCAUAUUUUAUCACAAGCUGAUGAUAGUUGGAGUGGAAAACGUGGAAUUGUGUCUGAAGUAUUAUUAAAGGAAUUAAUCGGUGACGCUGUUAAUCAGAGCUGUAUUUUUACAUGUGGUCCUAAACCUUUUAUGGCUGUGGCUGAAGAAGCUCUUCAAAAAUUAGGAUGGAAAGCUACACAAAUUUAUGAAUUUUAUGGGUAAUACGUGUAUCUUACCACUAAAACAACACCAAAACAAUCAUGAAAGUAAUGGUAUUCCGAUAGACAAUUGUCCUAUAAAAAUAAUUUAAUCAAGAAUCUUAUAGUCUGACCUCUCUCAGUUGAGAAAUGUGAUCCAACAAAUUAGUACAAUCAAUAAUUACCAAUAGAGCAAUGAUUACUGAACUAGUAAAGAAAUUUAUUAUUAUAUAUGCACUUGUGAUUGACGCAGAAUUUUAAAUACAGCAGAUGGCAUCAUUAAUGUAUUUAUAGUCGUGAAGAUUGACUUAAUAGUUUUCCUGUAAGAACAAGUCAUUAAGCAUCGAAGAGGAAAGUUUGACAAUGAUAAAGUUUAUACUGAAGUUGAUUUUCUUCUGACCCCAUAUCGUGGUUAUUGAUCGCAAGCUGUGAAACUUCUUUCCGCAAUAUGACGCGACGACCGUUCUCGCUUAUGAGCGAGCGACCGAGACGGAUUUCUUUUGGCUUCUCAUCUAGUAUGCAUGUCAGACAGGAAGGAACAAGGGAGUCUAAAGUGGAUGGUAGACUUAUGUGGUAUGACGAUGAAAAAAGGAAAAUAAAAAAAAGUGGUGGAUAGACUCUUCGGUGGUUCCCGUCGGCGACGGCGACAGCAAUUGCAAAGAAAAGGGAGCGUGAGAAAGUGGGAGGAAGCGCUAGUGGGGGCGAGUUAGCGGGGUGCAAGAUGGAGAAGGGAAUGCACAGGGAUGCUGCUUUCAGUCGCGCGGCAGCCCUCGUUCUGAUUAGGCGGCUCCACUAUGAAAGGAAGCAGUUGGACAAAAUAGCGCAGACUACGUACGUGAGCCAUAUGAAGAUUUAAUGUAUUUCCAAUAUUUUGUGGAUUCACGGGACGGCUUGGGAACACCUGCUAGCGAUCUAAAGACUUGCGACGUUUUUCAUCUGUCGACGUUAAAUGAUGCAGAGGAAAGCAGAAUUCGUGAUUGAAUGAAUCAAAAACGAAGUAGAAAAAUUUAAUCAACUGCAAACGAGAAUGCAGUGAUAAUAAAGCACUGUAAGUCAUAAAGUGAAUGAAGAUGAUCGAGAAGAAAAGAAAAUGGAGAAAGUACAACGUUCAAAGAUUUUUACGGUAUUCGAUUAGCAAACGAAUGUGGGUAGUAAAGAAAAAUCAUUACGGAAGUAAUAAAGUAGUUCUAAUGUCGCAC